rnacentral:misc_RNA from 1 species
GAUGAAGAACGCAGCGAAAUGCGAUAAGUAGUGUGAAUUGCAGAAUUCAGUGAAUCAUCGAAUCUUUGAACGCACAUUGCGCCCCUUGGUAUCCCGAGGGGCAUGCCUGUCGAGCGUCAUUUCACCACUCAAGCCUGGCUUGGUGUUGGGCGACGUCCCCUUUGGGGACGCGCCUCGAAACGCUCGGCGGCGUGGCACCGGCUUUAAGCGUAGCAGAAUCUUUCGCUUUGGAAGUCGGGGCCCCGUCUGCCGGAAGACCUACUCGCAAGGUUGACCUCGGAUCAGGCAGGGAUACCCGCUGAACUUAAGCAUAUCAAUAAGCGGAGGA